rnacentral:misc_RNA from 1 species
GAAGAUUUGUCUGAGAGUGCUAUGAGAAUUCAACCUUGGACAAAACAAAUCACGUUACGAGGAAUCAUUGCUAGUACAAUUAUUGGUAGCAUUUACAGUGUGAUACAAAUGAAAAUGAACCUCACAACUGGGAUCAAUCCUAAUCUCAAUGUAUCAGCUGCUCUUCUUGCCUAUGUUUUCAUUCAGGCAUGGACUAAGAUCAUUAAGAAGCUCGGGUUUGUGUCUGUUCCUUUCACAAGACAGGAAAAUACCAUGAUACAAACAUGUUCUGUCGCGUGUUACAGCAUUGCUCUCGGAGGUGGACUAGGAUCUUAUUUAUUGGGAAUGGAUAAGAAAACAUAUGAACUAGCAGGGGUUGGAACAGUUGGAAAUACAUCAGAUAGUUAUAAGAAACUUGAAAUUGGUUGGAUGAUUGGAUAUCUUCUUGUAGUUUGCUUUAUUGGACUUUUUGUAUUAGUUCCGCUUAGAAAGGUCUUGAUAGUGGAUUAUAAGUUGACUUUUCCAACUGGAAUGGCAACUGCUGUUCUAAUUAAUGGAUUUCAUGGAAAGAAUGAUAAAAAAGCUAGAAAGCAAGUGAAAGGCUUCCUCAAGUUUUUUUCCUAUAGUUUUAGCUGGGCUUUCUUUCAGUGGUUUUAUACUGGCAAACAGGAUUGUGGAUUUCAACAGUUUCCUACAUUUGGAUUAAAAGCCUGGAAACAAACGUAUGUCUUUUUAAGUUUAAGCUCAAUACCCCUUAUCUAAAUUAAAUGACGAUGUAUUUUUUGAAUCUGCUUUAACAUGAUGAUGGCCUAACAUAUACAAUAUUUCUGUUGUGGUCUAGAUUUUACUUUGAUUUUAGCUUGACUUAUGUGGGAACUGGAAUGAUAUGUCCACACAUAGUAAACAUAUCAUUGCUUCUUGGGGCAAUUCUUUCAUGGGGUGUUAUGUGGCCUCUCAUUGCAAAACUUAAAGGAGAAUGGUUCCCUGCUGAUAUAUCAGAAUCCAGUAUGAAAAGCCUUAAUGGUUACAAGGUCUUCAUCUCCAUCGCGCUCCUCCUUGGUGAUGGGCUCUACAAUUUUGCCAAGAUAUUGUAUUUCACACUGUCUAGUGUUCACGAGAGGUUCAAACGCAAAAAUCUAAGUCCAGAUAUAUCAGCAGCAGGGGUGAGGCAGGAGAAGAAAUCAGAGGAUGUGAAGUACGAUGAAGCGUUUGUUAGAGAGAGAAUUCCAAUGUGGAUAGGAGGUGUAGGGUAUUUAGCAUUGGGGACUAUUGCUGUGAUUAUGAUUCCAUUGAUUUUCCAUGAGAUCAGAUGGUAUUGGGUGAUCCUAGCUUAUCUUUUUGCUCCGUCUUUAGCUUUCUGCAACGCGUAUGGCUCAGGCUUGACUGACAUAAACAUGGCAUAUAACUAUGGUAAAGUGGGACUUUUCAUGAUGGCUGCAUUGGCUGGUAAAGAACAUGGUGUCAUUGCUGGUUUAGCUGGUUGUGGUUUGAUAAAGUCAGUAGUUAACAUUUCUUGCAUUUUAAUGCAAGAUUUUAAGACGGGGCAUUUAACAUUGACAUCUCCAAAAACUAUGUUUCUUAGUCAGGCUAUAGGGACAGCUUUAGGCUGUGUGAUAGGUCCAUUAUGCUUCUUUUUGUUCUACAAUGCAUUUGAUAUUGGCAAUCCAAAUGGUGAAUUCAAGGCACCUUAUGCAUUGAUCUAUAGAAACAUGGCGAUUCUCAGUGUACAAGGUGUUUCAGCUUUACCUCAACAUUGCUUGCAGCUGUGUUAUGGGUUCUUUGCAUUUGCUGUUGCCAUAAAUUUGGUGAAAGAUCUUUCUCCAGAGAAGAUAGGGAAGUGGAUGCCAUUGCCUAUGGCGAUGGCGGUGCCUUUUCUAAUUGGUGGUUAUUUUGGUAUUGAUAUGUGUAUAGGGAGUUUGGUUGUGUUUGUGUGGCAUAAACUUAACUCUAAGAAAGCUAAGGUGAUGGUUCCAGCAGUUGCUUCUGGUUUGAUCUGUGGAGAAGGUCUAUGGAUUCUUCCUUCAUCUAUACUUGCUUUGGCCAGGGUAGCUCCUCCAAUCUGCAUGAAAUUCUUGGCUUCUUGAAGAAUUUCAGUGUCCAACUGGUCCAUAAAAAUGAAAAUAACUAAUGUACUGAUUUACAAGAACCUACAGCUCGUGUCGUUUAUUUUUUUCUGUGCUCUUAGUCUAGGAACUGAUAAAGUUGUAUCUCACAGAUGAAAUUUAUAAUGAGAAUGGGCG